ensembl:misc_RNA Metazoa_SRP Metazoan signal recognition particle RNA
GCUGGGUGUGGUGACGCACACCUGUAAUCCCAGCUUCUAGGGAGGCUGAGGCAGGAGAAUUGCUUGAACCCAGGAGGUGGAGGUUACAGUGAGCUGAGAUCGUGCCACUGCACUUUGGCCUGGGCAACAGAGUGAGACUCCGUCUCAA